rnacentral:rRNA from 1 species
CCUACGGGAGGCAGCAGUGGGGAAUAUUGCACAAUGGGGGAAACCCUGAUGCAGCGACGCCGCGUGAGUGAAGAAGUAUUUCGGUAUGUAAAGCUCUAUCAGCAGGGAAGAAGCAAGACGGUACCUGACUACGAAGCCCCGGCUAACUACGUGCCAGCAGCCGCGGUCAUACGUAGGGGGCAAGCGUUAUCCGGAUUUACUGGGUGUAAGGGGAGCGUAGACGGCUGUGCAAGUCUGAAGUGAAAGCCCAGGGCUCAACCAUGGGACUGCUUUGGAAACUGUGGAGCUAGAGUGCUGGAGAGGUAAGUGGAAUUCCUAGUGGAGCGGUGAAAUGCGUAGAUAUUAGGAGGAACACCAGUGGCGAAGGCGGCUUACUGGACAGUAACUGACGUUGAGGCUCGAAAGCGUGGGGAGCAAACAGGAUUAGAUACCCGAGUAGUC